rnacentral:tRNA from 1 species
GGGGCUGUAACUCAGUGGUAGAGUGCCUCGUUUGCAAAGUUGUUUCAUUACAACACAUUGAUUCGAUGAAGUCCGGCGUUCGAUCCGCCGCUGCUCCA